CAAAGGGGUGCUGCUUUUGCGGCUGAGACCGGUGGACCGGAACCCAUAGAACCUGUUCGGAUAAUGCCGGCGUAGGGAACAUAAAU
rnacentral:ncRNA from 1 species